UACAGAAUCAAGUCACGGAUACGAAUCGGAAGCUGCAGCUGGAAAGCAAGCAACUGGUGGGCGCCAUGGAAGAGCUGAGGCAGUGCCGGCUGCAGCAGUGGAACAUCUCCGCCACGGUGGAUAAACUCAGCCAGUGCCUUCCCGUUCUGGAGAUGGAGAGCAAGUUAAGGGAGCAGAUGAAGUCCAAAAGG